UACGUAGGGGGCUAGCGUUGUCCGGAAUCAUUGGGCGUAAAGCGCGUGUAGGCGGUCCGGUAAGUCCGCUGUGAAAGUCGGGGGCUCAACCCUCGAAUGCCGGUGGAUACUGUCGGGCUAGAGUGCGGAAGAGGCGAGUGGAAUUCCUGGUGUAGCGGUGAAAUGCGUAGAGAUGUGGAGGAAUACCGAUGGCGAAGGCAGCCCCCUGGGAUGUGACUGACGCUCAUGCACGAAAGCGUGGGGAGCAAACAGG
rnacentral:rRNA from 1 species